GGAGGUCAAUCGUCACCCUGAAAGCGAAUAGUAGACGUCAGGGGCGUUGAUGGGGAUUUGCAGGAUGACCAGUUCAGCGCAGAUAAGUACCCAGCACCGGACAGAAGGGCAAACCAGAAACUACACUUAAUCUUCCAGGACCCAACGGUCAAUCAUGUUGUGGGGGAGGACUGAUUAUCCGCAUGACACCCCACGCAGAAAUGUUCAAGGAGAUUACUAAAGAGCAUUUUUCUUUUGUGCCGUUUAAAAAUGGAAAGGCCGUUGGUCCAGAUGACA